UAACAGCUCAAAUUUGAAAUCUGGCUCCUGCGGAGUCCGAGUUGUAAUUUGUAGAAGAUGCUUUGGGAGGGAGGCUCGGCCUAAGUUCCUUGGAACAGGACAUCAGAGAGGGUGAGAAUCCCGUAUGUGGCCGUGGCCUCCGCCCGUGUAAAGCUCUUUCGACGAGUCGAGUUGUUUGGGAAUGCAGCUCAAAAUGGGUGGUAAAUUUCAUCUAAAGCUAAAUAUUGGCCAGAGACCGAUAGCGCACAAGUAGAGUGAUCGAAAGAUGAAAAGCACUUUGGAAAGAGAGUUAAACAGUACGUGAAAUUGUUGAAAGGGAAGCGCUUGCACCCAGACUUGGGCGUCGUCGAUCAUCCGAGGUUCUCCUCGGUGCACUCGGCGAGGCACAGGCCAGCAUCGGUUUGGAUGGUUGGAGAAAGGCUCUAGGAACGUAGCUCUCUUCGGGGAGUGUUAUAGCCUAGGGCGUAAUGCAGCCCAUCUGGACCGAGGACCGCGCCUUCGGGCUAGGAUGCUGGCGUAAUGGUUGCAAGCGACCCG
rnacentral:rRNA from 1 species